rnacentral:rRNA from 1 species
CACGUAGGGUGCGAGCGUUGUCCGGAAUUAUUGGGCGUAAAGAGCUCGUAGGCGGCUUGUUGCGUCGGAUGUGAAAAGCCCCGGGGCUUAACCCCGGGUCUGCAUUCGAUACGGGCAGGCUAGAGUUCGGUAGGGGAGAUCGGAAUUCCUGGUGUAGCGGUGAAAUGCGCAGAUAUCAAGCGGAACACCGGUGGCGAAGGCGGCCUUCUGGACAAUGACUGACGCUAAAACACGAAAGCGUGGGGAGCAAACAGG